CCUACGGGUGGCAGCAGUGGGGAAUAUUGGACAAUGGGGGGAACCCUGAUCCAGCGACGCCGCGUGAGUGAAGAAGUAUUUCGGUUUGUAAAGCUCUAUCAUCAGGGAAGAAAAUGACGGUACCUGCCUAAGAAGCACCGGCUAACUACGUCCAAGCAGCCGCGGUAAUCCGUAGGGGGCAGGGGUUCUCCGGAUUUACUGGUGUGAAGGAAGCGUAGACGGUGCAGCAAUUCUGAUGUGAAAGGUCGGGGCCCAACCCCGGGACUGCAUUUGAAACUGUUGAACUGGAGUACAGGAGAGGUAAGCGGAAUUCCUAGUGUAGCGGUGAAAUGCGUAGAUAUUAGGAGGAACACCAGUGGCGAAGGCGGCUUACUGGACUGUAACUGACGUUGAGGCUCGAAAGCGUGGGGAGCAAACAGGAUUAGAUACCCCAGUAGUC
rnacentral:rRNA from 1 species